CGGACGGGUGAGUAACACGUGGAUAACCUACCUAUAAGACUGGGAUAACUUCGGGAAACCGGAGCUAAUACCGGAUAAUAUAUUGAACCGCAUGGUUCAAUAGUGAAAGACGGUUUUGCUGUCACUUAUAGAUGGAUCCGCGCUGCAUUAGCUAGUUGGUAAGGUAACGGCUUACCAAGGCAACGAUGCGUAGCCGACCUGAGAGGGUGAUCGGCCACACUGGAACUGAGACACGGUCCAGACUCCUACGGGAGGCAGCAGAG
rnacentral:rRNA from 1 species